GACGAACGCUGGCGGCGUGCUUAACACAUGCAAGUCGAACGGAAAGGCCCCUUUGGGGGUACUCGAGUGGCGAACGGGUGAGUAACACGUGAGUAACCUGCCCUUGACUUCGGGAUAACUUCAGGUAACUGGGGCUAAUACCGGAUAGGAAUCCUUGCUGCAUGGUGGGGGUUGGAAAGCUUCGGCGGGUUUGGAUGGACUCGCGGCUUAUCAGCUUGUUGGUGGGGUAGUGGCUUACCAAGGCUUUGACGGGUAGCCGGCCUGAGGGGGCGACCGGCCACAUUGGGACUUAGAUACGGCCCAGACUCCUACGGGAGGCAGCAGUGGGGAAUAUUGCACGAUGGGCGGAAGCCUGAUGCAGCAACGCCGCGUGCGGGAUGACGGCCUUCGGGUUGUAAACCGCUUUCAGCAGGGGCGAAGCUUGUGGUGACGGUACCUGCAGAAGAAGCACCGGCUAACUACGUG
rnacentral:rRNA from 1 species